rnacentral:tmRNA from 1 species
GGGGGCGAAACGGCUUCGACGGGGAUAAUUGAGGCUUAGGUUGCAUACCGAGGUUCCAUCUGCUCGUAAAACCGGUGGGCUUAAAACAAACGCAGACGAUUAUGCGUAUGCCUUAGCCGCAUAAAAUAGGCUAACGUCCUCCAGGUUUGAGCCUGCGUGACCGAAGAGGACGUCGACCAGCAGGCUAGCCGAUCUGUUGCACCUGUGAAGCAGAAAGGCGAAUUUAAACACAGGUUAGCCUCAGGGAUAGCUUGCCCAAUUGUCAUCUGUGAGGCGAAACUUCAAAAUUGGGCUAAGUAUGUAGACACCUAUGCUGAAUGUUUCCGGACGCGGGUUCGACUCCCGCCGCCUCCACCA